rnacentral:rRNA from 1 species
UACGUAGGGGGCAAGCGUUGUCCGGAUUUAUUGGGCGUAAAGAGCUCGUAGGCGGUUCCGUAAGUCGGGUGUGAAAAAUCUGGGCUCAACCCAGUGGAGCACCCGAUACUGCGGUGACUCGAGUCCGGUAGGGGAGUGUGGAAUUCCUGGUGUAGCGGUGAAAUGCGCAGAUAUCAGGAGGAACACCGACGGCGAAGGCAGCACUCUGGGCCGGUACUGACGCUGAGGAGCGAAAGCAUGGGGAGCAAACAGG